UUGUAUGAAUGGUUGGACAAAGGAAUGACUGUCCCUGUAAUUGAGUUUGAAUUUGACUUUUAAGUGAAAAGGCUUAAAUUUUUUAGGGGGACGAUAAGACCCUAUAAAGCUUCAGGGACUAAGAAGUUUUUUCUGAUUUUUUUAUAAAGGUUUAAUCUUAUUGUUCUAUUUUGUUGGGGUGACAAAAAUAUAAAUAUUUUAACUGUUUGAGGGCUUAGACAGGGAUUACUGGUGGUUAGUUGAUCCUUAUUAAAGAUUAAAAGACUAAGUUACUUUAGGGAUAACAGCGUUAUUUCUCUUGAGAGUCCAUAUUGAAAGAGAAGAUUACGACCUCGAUGUUGAAUUAAAAUGUCUAUGUAACGCAACCGUUACAAAAGAAGGUCUGUUCGACCUAUAAAUUUUUACGUGAU
rnacentral:rRNA from 1 species